GACGAACGCUGGCGGCGUGCUUAACACAUGCAAGUCGAACGGAAAGGCCCUGCUUUUGUGGGGUGCUCGAGUGGCGAACGGGUGAGUAACACGUGAGUAACCUGCCCUUGACUUUGGGAUAACUUCAGGAAACUGGGGCUAAUACCGGAUAGGAGCUCCUGCUGCAGGGUGGGGGUUGGAAAGUUUCGGCGGGUGGGGAUGGACUCGCGGCUUAUCAGCUUGUUGGUGGGGUAGUGGCUUACCAAGGCUUUGACGGGUAGCCGGCCUGAGAGGGUGACCGGCCACAUUGGGACUGAGAUACGGCCCAGACUCCUACGGGAGGCAGCAGUGGGGAAUCUUGCACAAUGGGCGGAAGCCUGAUGCAGCAACGCCGCGUGCGGGAUGACGGCCUUCGGGUUGUAAACCGCUUUCGCCUGUGACGAAGCGUGAGUGACGGUAAUGGGUAAAGAAGCACCGGCUAACUACGUG
rnacentral:rRNA from 1 species